UACGUAGGGGGCGAGCGUUGUCCGGAUUUAUUGGGCGUAAAAGGCUUGUAGGUGGCCACGUCAAGUCGGAUGUGAAAUCUCCCGGCUCAACUGGGAGGGGUCAUUCGAUACUGGCGGGCUCGAGGCCGGUAGGGGGAAGCGGAAUUCCCGGUGUAGUGGUGGAAUGCGUAGAUAUCGGGAGGAACACCAGUGGCGAAGGCGGCUUCCUGGACCGGU
rnacentral:rRNA from 1 species